AAAAUUUUAAGUUAAUAAAACUAAAAGCCUUCAAAGCUUGAAUUAGGAGUUUAAUCUCUUAAAUUUUA
rnacentral:tRNA from 1 species